AUGGACACCCGCCAUGGAACCUCACUGCUGAUUCUGUAUCUUCACCUGACCUGGGUGAGCUGCCUACAGAAGGUGGAGCAGAAUCCUCUGUCUCUGAAGAUCCAGGAGGGAGAGAGCAUCACAAUCAACUGCAGCUACACAGAAGUUACUAGCCAAGGGCUGCAGUGGUUCAGUCAGGACCCUGGACAAGGCCUCACCUCCCUAUUUUACCUAACUUCAGGGGAGAAGCAGAAUGGAAGGUUGAGAUCCAGAUACAGCACAAAGGAGCUCCAUAGCUCCCUGCAUAUCACCAAUGCCCAGCCUGAAGACUCAACCACUUACCUCUGUGCUGUUGGAGCACAGUGA